rnacentral:rRNA from 1 species
UACAACAUAGCAUUAAUGCACUGGAUCCCAUUAGAAAUCUGCAGUUAAGCGUGCUCAAGCUAGAGUAGUACUAUGAUGGGUGACCACCUAGGAAGUCUUAGUGUUUUAC